rnacentral:sRNA from 1 species
GGCCUAACCUGAGUAGAGCGAAAGCUCGAAAGGCAUGGCUGUAAAGACGAACAAAGCACAUAACCCCGUCGUUAGGAUUGCUUUGUUCGCCAUAGCUGGAAACGGCUAUGGGACUUCGGUCC